GCGAUGCAUCUAGAUUAGAGUUUGAUCCUGGCUCAGGAUGAACGCCGGCGGUGUGCCUAAUACAUGCAAGUCGAACGCGUUGGCCCAAUUGAUUGAUGGUGCUUGCACCUGAUUGAUUUUGGUCGCCAACGAGUGGCGGACGGGUGAGUAACACGUAGGUAACCUGCCCAGAAGCGGGGCACAACAUUUGGAAACAGAUGCUAAUACCGCAUAACAGCGUUGUUCGCAUGAACAACGCUUAAAUGAUGGCUUCUCCCUAUCACUUCUGGAUGGACCUGCGGUGCAUUAGCUUGUUGGUGGGGUAACGGCCUACCAAGGCGAUGAUGCAUAGCCGAGUUGAGAGACUGAUCGGCCACAAUGGGACUGAGACACGGCCCAUACUCCUACGGGAGGCAGCAGUAGGGAAUCUUCCACAAUGGGCGCAAGCCUGAUGGAGCAACACCGCGUGAGUGAAAAAGGGUUUCGGCUCGUAAAGCUCUGUUGUUAAAGAAGAAAACGUAUGAGAGUAACUGUUCAUACGUUGACGGUAUUUAACCAGAAAGUCACGGCUAACUACGUGCCAGCAGCCGCGGUAAUACGUAGGUGGCAAGCGUUAUCCGGAUUUUUAGGGCGUAAAGAGAGUGCAGGCGGUUUACUAAGUCUGAUGUGAAAGCCUUCGGCUUAACCGGAGAAGUGCAUCGGAAACUGGAUAACUUGAGUGCAGAAGAGGGUAGUGGAACUCCAUGUGUAGCGGUGGAAUGCGUAGAUAUAUGGAAGAACACCAGUGGCGAAGGCGGCUACCUGGUCUGCAACUGACGCUGAGACUCGAAAGCAUGGGUAGCGAACAGGAUUAGAUACCCUGGUAGUCCAUGCCGUAAACGAUGAGUGCUAGGUGUUGGAGGGUUUCCGCCCUUCAGUGCCGGAGCUAACGCAUUAAGCACUCCGCCUGGGGAGUACGACCGCAAGGUUGAAACUCAAAGGAAUUGACGGGGGCCCCCACAAGCGGUGGAGCAUGUGGUUUAAUUUGAAGCUACGCGAAGAACCUUACCAGGUCUUGACAUCUUGCGCCAA
rnacentral:rRNA from 2 species